rnacentral:rRNA from 1 species
GCUGUUGCUGGUUCCCUCUGGUGGCACAUGCUGCACGCUUGUCAUCUUUAUCAUUUCUCCAAAACUGUGCACCUCUUGUAGACCUGGAGCUGGAUUUCAUUCGAAUUGGGAACUGCUGUGCUUUCACAAGUCAGCUUUGCCUUGCAUAUUUCCAUGGUCUAUGUUCACACAAAACCUGUUUAGAAUGGUUGGACUAAAUAUUAUUAAAAGUUAUACAACUUUCAGCAACGGAUCUCUUGGCUCUCGCAUCGAUGAAGAACGCAGCGAAAUGCGAUAAGUAAUGUGAAUUGCAGAAUUCAGUGAAUCAUCGAAUCUUUGAACGCACCUUGCGCUCCUUGGUAUUCCGAGGAGCAUGCCUGUUUGAGUGUCAUUUUAACUUCUCAACCAUAUCGAAUUGUUUUUCGAGGUGGCUUGGACAUGGGGGUUUUUGCAGGCUUCAAUAAUGAAGUCGGCUCCUCUGAAACGCAUUAGUGGUAUCUGAAGCAGAACUGCUACUAUUAGGUGUGAUAAUUAUCUAUGCCACUUGGUAUACUGCAUGAACAGAUUGCGCUGCUUCCAACUUGUACACCCUUUGGUGUUUGACAAAUUUGACCUCAAAUCAGGUAGGACUACCCGCUGAACUUAAGCAUAUCAAUAAGCG